UCUUUUCCUUUUUUUCCCUUCGCCGCGGUAAUACGUAUGGUGCAAGCGUUAUCCGGAUUUACUGGGUGUAAAGGGAGCGCAGGCGGAAGGCUAAGUCUGAUGUGAAAGCCCGGGGCUCAACCCCGGUACUGCAUUGGAAACUGGUCAUCUAGAGUGUCGGAGGGGUAAGUGGAAUUCCUAGUGUAGCGGUGAAAUGCGUAGAUAUUAGGAGGAACACCAGUGGCGAAGGCGGCUUACUGGACGAUAACUGACGCUGAGGCUCGAAAGCGUGGGGAGCAAACAGG
rnacentral:rRNA from 1 species